AUGAACUUGAAUUUCCAUCUGAACAGAGUUCUGUAUGUGAUUGUCCUGCACAUCUUCAUGACAGAGAGUCUCCGCUCCUCAUUGCCCAGGUUCGGGAUGCUGUACGGGUUUCUAGAACAAUUAAGCAUUCACUUACCGACACGUGUAGAUAUGACUUCUGAUUGGUUUAAGGGCUGGCUUUUCUACUGCAUUUGAUCAAGAUCCCCCCGAGACAGGGACUUCUAUUGGCAACUAUUCGUACGGAUGUUUGGUGAAAAAAUGGUCU